UUGAUUUUAUUUUACACCCCUACUUCACCUCAUCCUUAGGAUAAGAAACCUUUAAUAACCAGGAUCUUAAAAUAUCAGACCUCCUGAUAUAAUAAUCAGAGGUAAUGGAAAAGGGCAAAAACCUGUCUUCAGUCAAGGAUAAGGCUGCUCCCUCUUUUCUCCUCCCUUACCCCCUCCCCUGGUCUCAUUAACCUUGAAUUGAGAGAAUAUGCUUUUUAUUUGGAUGAUUUAGUUUGAAACAUGUUUUCUUUUCUUAUACUUUUUGUGCUGCCGGUAGUCCGCUUUAUCAAGUGCUUGAGUAUUUAUUUCCAUGUUAAAGUAGUGAUGAGUGUUUACUUGCUCAUCUUUUUGAAUAAAGAGAAGGACAAGACUUGAUUCCAUUCAUUUUGUACAUUUGUGGAGUAUAUGUCUUUUGGAAAGAGGCAUGUAUCUUAGUUAGUUCAGGUCUUAGGUGUUACCAUAGUUUUGUAUACUUCCUAGAAACACUAAAUGUCACAGUCUCCUAACAAUUGUUUCUUGCCUGUGUGACUACAUAGUGUUUGUUCUUAAUCCAGAGAUGAACUUAAUUCAGUUACCAUUCAGGUUUGUAGGCGAGCAUGGAGUUCUCCCUUUAGAAAAGGUCCGUGGGAGCUGGUAGAGACUUAGUAGCAGUAGUAUCUCUUCAGGCAUUGUUUUAAAUUGAAUACGUGAUUUAAUGUUUUUUUAACCUUCUCGUUUUGACAUUACCAAUUUACCACUAUGUAAUUUACAUUUACUCCAAAGGUAACUUGGAAGUAGGUCCAGGUUUUGAUUGAGGUUUAUAUUGUCAUGUUGCCAAAUACUACGUUGAAUGUUAAUUGUCACUGACUCAUCAAGUUCAGUUUUGGGGUGUCAUUGCAUUCAGCCCUUGUUAAAUGAGCUAGAAGUCAGGGGUCCCUUCCUAGGACGAUUUAAAAUACUCUUGCAUUGGUUUCCUGUCACAUUUAGAUAAAACUAUGGGUUUAGUUAUGAGAAUAUGGAUUUAGACCUUUCUGUCAUGGGUUUUGCUGAAGGCUGUGGUCCUGGAUAUAAUAGAGAUAUUUGAGCUUGUGUUCAGGGUUGUUUCCGGACUGUACUUUUGUCCUAGAUUUGUGCUAAAAAGUCUAUGUUCUUGAGGUGUUUGGUAUAGUAAGUUCCAGUGUUCCAGGAUGUGGAACCAUAUUUAGUGAUAGCUUAUUUAAACCAUACUUCCAGAAUUUGACAAAAAUAUCUACAUUGUUUCCUUAUUCCUCAAGAGGGGGACAAGAUGAGGGCAAAGAAAACCCAUUUUGUUGCCUAGAAGGAGAGAACUGAAGAACUGAGAUUUUUAAAAAAUCUGUAAAUGCUCCUAUGUGAAAUUUAUUAUAUCCUUAAGGAACAUAAAAUUAUCACUUUUAAUUGAACUCAGGGUUUAAAUUCAUGUUGGCUUUUGGACUUGCCUGAACCAGGGUAGUCUAAGGUAGUAGCUGAAUGGCAGAUUAUUUUUAAAAGUUAUUUAUUUAUUAUUUAUUUACUUUUGUGACUAGUGCAGAAUGCAGGGUAUGUGAGGAGGGGAGCUGAUGAUGCAUUUUUCAGGGAAGAAUCAAGCUUUCUAAGCACUUCAUGGGGUCAUUUGAAAGGAAUAUUUUAAAAUUCUGGGGUAAUUUUCAGCUAUGAUGAGGCAGAUCUUAUAAUAGCUACUUAAGAGCCUCUUGUGAUACUGGAGUGUUUGAUGUUUUUCAUCUUGGUAGUGUAGUUUAAAAUCCACUAAAAAUCAGUUUUAGGUAAUUAUUUUAUUAGAUCAAUUUCAGAGCUCAAAAUAGAAUAGCUUAUAAUGUUAAAUUUUUGGACUUUUCAUUUUGUUUUCGGGAUUUUCUUCGAAAAUGACUCCUUAAUUCUUGGUAGCGUGGAUGUUGAUGGAGGAUGGAGUAACUCUUGUAAAGUGUGUAGGUUAAAGUGUUUAAUUUUCUAUUACCAUAUAGUUUAACUUAACAUUUAAAAAAUUGGAGUUCAGUGUGUUUUUGACCACUUGACUUUAAGGACAGUUUAGAAGAAAGGGGAAUCAUUAAACAUUUGUUACAGUGCUACUGUUCUAAGGAACCGCUGUUCAAAAGAGAGAUACAUAAAGAAAUUGAAGUCCUUGGAUUCAAAAGCUUAUCGUUUAGUUGUAGAGGCAGUUGAUGGGAAAAAGUAGGAAAACAAUAGCAUGGUGACUGCAAGAUUAUGAAUACAAAUAGAAUGCUUUGUUCAGAGGGAUGAAGACUACAGGGGUAAGGCAUCUUGGUUGGAGAGGAAAGACUUCCUGCAGAGAUGGGUUUUUAAGACAGGUGUUAAAGGAGGCAGCCACUUGAAUUUAUAGAGAAGCAUAAGGGAUUCUAGGUGGAAGGAAUGGGCAGAGGCGCAGAGAUGGUAUUUUUUUGUAUGGCAGGUAGAUAAUUUUUGUACUUAAAAAGCAAGUUGGUAAAUCUGAAUUAAAGGGUCUUAAAUGGGAAAAUAAGAACAGAUAGAAUUUGGGAAAUGUGUUUUUGAUAGCUGAUGGAGGGCAGAGGGGGCCUGUAAGAGUUUGGUUGAGAUUCAAGAGAGUUUAGGGUUGUUAGAGUUAGGUUGUUGAACGAGAUAUUUGAACAUGAUUUGGGCAGCUGAAUUAAUGACUUACAGUAGACAUUGGAGCCCUUUUAGGGAGAUAGGGGAUGUUGUGAAUCAUGAGAAAAUAUAAAAUAAAAUGUGAAAAUGGUAUGAAAAUAACACGUUUGAGAGAUGGUGUGAAUGAGAAACUGGCAGGACUUUGGAUUGGAUCGAAGGGGAAUAUUUGGGAAGGAGUCAGGAGUUAAAAAUAAAUUCUGAUGUUGUUGGUCUGGAAGACUUGACCUGCUGAGUUAUAUUGCCGAUUGUAAUGGGAAAGUUGAGAAAGUGCCUUGAUGAGAGGGUAGAUGAGUUCACUUUUUAAUAAUUUAAUGUAUAGUAGGUUCCCUUGAAGUUCAGACAGCAUUUGGUUACUGGCAAUGAUAUUUAACUUUACAGCCUAUUAAUUGCACAGUUUCUAACUUUUCUUCCCCUAAAAAUGUUGGAUUUAUUUUUUAGAGCAAUAAACUAAGGGUUUUAAUUUAAAUACUUUCUAUUGAAGUCUUAAAAAAGAAAGUAAUUUUUUAUGUAGAUUCAAAAGCCUCACACUUGACCCUAGUUAUAAUAGUUCCAUGGUAAUUUGUUGGAAAACAAUGGAAAUAUUUUUUGGACUAAACUGUGACGUAAAAAUAGGUAUUUUAACUAGCCUUUAAUUUAGUCUUUGGAACAUGCUUAAAACCUGUUUUUCAUAAAUAAUGAUUAUUCUUAGGUAAACCUUGCAUUUAAAAUAAUGAUAAUAAUAGUAAUAAUAGCAGCCUUUACUUGGUUUGUGAAGGCUUCAGUAGAAAUUAAAAGUUGACUUUACAACAAAAUGCUUUUUGCCUUUUUGGUUGAGUUAAGCAUACAUCCUAAGUUUAAAUCAUGUAUUUAAAUUGUAUAUUUGAAAUAUUGCUUUUUACUUACUAUGGUGAAACCAGUGUUUCUUUUUUGUUCACAUACAGACUCAAGUGUUAUUAAAUAAACGUUAAUAGCUAUACAAUUCCUUCUGUAGAAUUACGUGAUAUUUUACUCAAAAAAGAGAAGGAAAGGGACUAUCUGUGGUGGUUUUGUUUAAAAUAUUAGUAACAAAUGCUUUUGGUAUACUCUUGGCACAAAUUUAACUAAUUGGGUAGGCUUAAUGCUUAAGUAUAACGUUUGGAAAGAGGAAAAUACGUGAGUAUCUCUUAAUUAGGUCAGGUUUUGUUUUUUUUUU